CGACUGCCAAAGGAGGAGGGUCAUGUUUUUCGAGUGUAUGUAAGUAUGUAUGUCUGUUUCUUUGUGGCCUCGUGUAGCCUAAACGGCUGGAUGGAUCUUGAUGUAUGAGGUAUCGUUAGAUUCGUCUUGAUCACGGGAGUGUCAUAGGAUACAUUUUAUUCCGAAACUAAAAAGUUAUAAAUAAAAAAAUAAUUAUUAUAAAAAAA